GUGGAGGAGUUAGAGGAGAGUGCAGCUGAAACCAAGGUAAAAUGUGAUCUGGUGAAUGAAUCUGGUGAAGCUCGACACUCAGAGAAGAAUGAUGAAAGCACAGGAGGAGAGUCUGAAAUCACAUUUGUUGAACCAUCUGCAUCAAAUAAGAAAGGCUACGAAUCUUCAACAGGAGAAGAUAAUGACACUGAAAAGGUCAUCACUGAAAACACACUGGAGGACACAAGUCCAACAUCUCAGAGGGUUUCAACACAUAUUAAAGAAGGUGAGAUUCACUAUGUCAGAUUCAUUAUAUUUGUGAAUUACCUUUCAGCAAAAUAUAAAACAGAACUUUCAGUCAUUCAAAAUAUUUUUUUAAUGAUUUCUGAUUUCUGCGGUAUAACAUGGUGAUGGCUGGCUUUUAUUUUAUUUCAGUGAUACCUGAACACACACUUGUGUUAAUUGGUGACACAAAUUCCAUUGAGAUUGGAUCAAAAAACAUCUUAAUUGACCAUGAUGAGCAAACAAAUGUGGAACAGUUUUCAACCAAACUGUAUGAUUUGUGUGGUCGGCACAUCUCUGUCAUUAACAUGCUUGGUCUACAAAAUAUUGAUAAA